UGGGGCGUAGACAAGUGGCAAGUCACCAGUUUUUGGUACUGGCAUUCGCAGGUUCGAAUCCUGCCGCCCCAU
rnacentral:tRNA from 1 species